rnacentral:rRNA from 1 species
UACGAAGGUGGCAAGCGUUGUUCGGAUUUACUGGGCGUAAAGAGCGCGCAGGCGGCCCAUCAAGUCAGAUGUGAAAUAACCAGGCUUAACCUGGUGGGGUCAUUUGAAACUGGCGGGCUAGAGUCCAGUAGAGGAUAGCGGAAUUCCCGGUGUAGUGGUGAAAUGCGUAGAUAUCGGGAGGAACACCAGUGGCGAAGGCGGCUAUCUGGGCUGGAACUGACGCUGAGGCGCGAAGGCUAGGGGAGCAAACAGG